rnacentral:lncRNA from 1 species
CUGCAAGCAAAAGACACAAGAGCAUGCUUUCCUACUGAAUUUUGCAAGAAGGAAAACAGACUCCCUCCUGCUGAUGUGGGGAAGCAAUGCUAAAUCUCCCUAAAGAUUCACUCUGGCUUCUUACAGCUUGACUGUUCCUGGAGCACUUGGGGAAACAUGUUUUGCUUUGGGAAAUAAAAGGAGAAAAAAAAAAUCCUCUGUCCUAACCAAUUAAGACUUCACAGAAAGAAGUCAUGAGCUCAGAU